rnacentral:rRNA from 1 species
AUUGAACGCUGGCGGCAGGCCUAACACAUGCAAGUCGAGCGGAUGAGAGGAGCUUGCUCCUCGAUUCAGCGGCGGACGGGUGAGUAAUGCCUAGGAAUCUGCCUAGUAGUGGGGGACAACGUUUCGAAAGGAACGCUAAUACCGCAUACGUCCUACGGGAGAAAGUGGGGGAUCUUCGGACCUCACGCUAUUAGAUGAGCCUAGGUCGGAAUAGCUAGUUGGUAAGGUAAAGGCCUACCAAGGCGAGGAUCCGUAACUGGUCGGAGAGGAUGAUCAGACAAAAUAAAAGUAAGACACGAUACAGCCUCAUACUGGAGGCAGCAGUUGGGAAUAUUGGACAAUAGGAGAAAGCAUGAUCCGGCCAUUCCGAGUGUUUAAAAAAGGCCUUCGGGUCGUAAAGCACUUUAAGUUGGGAGGAAGGGCUCAUAGCGAAUACCUGUGAGUUUUGACGUUACCAACAGAAUAAGCACCGGCUAACUUCGUGCCAGCAGCCGCCGUAA